rnacentral:piRNA from 1 species
UAACCUACCUGACUGCUGGCC